CUUCUCACAGUGAUAUUUGGGGGCACAAAGAUAUACACCAACACAAAAACCUCAGAGCAAAACAUGGAUAUAUGCCUUAAUAAUUCAUAGAAAAAACACACAGAAUAAAUCCAUAUAUCGUUGAAUAAGAGGACUCAGUGAAGAUGUAGCACUGUGAGAUUUAGACUACUGGGGCAAUGGAACUAUUGUUACUGUCAUACCAGAUGGUCCAGAUGUGCCUCCAACUUUAUUCAUCCUGAGUCCCCUGCAGACUCCUGGCUACCCGCCAAAGUCAGCAGAUGAUCUGGGUCCAGAUGUCUGUCUGGUCACAGAUUUCCAUCCGAAGGGGGCAGAUGUGGUUCUAAAUUUGAAAGGUGGUCCAGUCAACGUGAGCGCCGAAGAUCCGAUUCUGUCAAAGAACAACACCUACUACUUUGUUGCUUUUAGCAAUCAAACCAUCCACUCCUGUGAGAUGAAUGGGACCUUCAGCAACAAUGAAGCAGACGAUGCAUGUGGAAACAUUUCUCCAAAAAAAGCCAAGCUGAACUUCUACCUGCUGCUGAUGAACGGAGUCCGACUGGUGUUCACCAAAGCUCUGGCCUUCAGCACUGUCCUCACCAUCAGGGGCCUGCUCUUCUGUAACUGAAACGUUAAAGCAGUCAGGAGAGCACAUCCAAUUAUCUGAGCAAAGCAGUUCAUUUAUAGAUCUAAUUAAUUAAUCUAAGGAAUUUUAUUAAAAAAUAACUAUUUUUCUAAAGAAACAUCUAUACAGAAAAUGAAUCAUUUGAAAUACCCUUAUAAGAAAAAGUAAAUCUUCAGAACUCUUUUUUUUAACCUAUAAAAUUAUUUCACAAAGAAUAAUAGAAAGAAAUUUUGCUAUUUUAAAAAAAGAUGUAAGUUUACCUAAACACAGACAUCUUUU